rnacentral:lncRNA from 9 species
CACACCCACCCACAGACAUACACAACUUUUUUCCUUCAGACUCUUCAAACACACACCCUCCCCCAAUACUUUCUUAGAACAAAUUCCCAUCCUGAAGGGUUUUUAUUCAAAUUCCAACAAGAUGCCCAGCAUUCAGAGGGGAAGAGGAAGGGGGCCUGGCCCCUUUGAACUUUGGUCACCGCCUUUAAAGGAAAAGUAGAGCUUCUUGGGGGCUGUUUUUAAGUGCUACCUAAUUUUUUUUCAGGUUAUAAGAUUUUUCAUGUGUUUGGUUCUUUUAAAAAAAUCUACACAAAUUCCACUGAUCUCAUUUUAUUUGCAUAUAGUUUAUGACCCCACUAAUUCAACUUGAUCACAGGUCAAGAAAUGUCCUCUCAACAGAUAUUCAUUUAGUUCAACUGGUCAGGAUUUAAUGGGUGGGUGAAAAUCUGGUUACUUAACAAAUGCAAAAUAAAAUACUUUGCUGUAUUUUGGCAUUCCCAUCAUGGCUCAGGGGUUAACGAACCUGACUAGUAUCCAUGAGGACUCGGGUUUGAUCCCUUGCCUCACUCAGUGGGUUAAGGAUCUGGCAUUGCUGUGCCUGUGGUGUAGGCCACCAGAUACAACUCUGAUUGGACCCCUAACCUGGGAACCUCCAUGUGCCGUGGAUGCAGCCCUAAAAAGACAAAAAGAUAAAAAAUAAGAUAAAAUAGGAUAAAAUAAAUAAAAUAAAAUACUUUGCUGUAUUUUAUCUCCACUGGAAAAGAAUAAUAAUGGCAUAGUAUCUGGGCUAAGUUUUAAAUUGACAUCAAAGAGAAGUUGGAGUAUUAUCUCACUUUGGCAGAAAUAUUUAUAUUGAGACACGACUGGUUAUUCUAAACCUAAGCCAAAAGUACCAGGUACCAUAAAUCCAAUUCACCCUCGACUGUCAUUUCCCUUCAUAAGGUCACUACAUAUUACCCUCUCUUUUGGAAGCAAUGAGGGGAAGAAAGGGGCAGAAACUUAUGUGAAGAAGGAAUAAAGAAAAGAAAGCAAUAAAAAAGGAAUUUUUAAAAGAGAGUAAAACAAUUAUUUUAUUUUAAAACAUGCUUUAUGGAUACUUUAGCAAUGAAAGGCACAUAUACACUUAUUCCAAGUCAGCAGAAAUUUGAAGUCUUCAAGAAUCUCUUGAUUCACUCCAUUUGCUCUGAGAAUAAAUAGGUGAAACUUCUCCAAGAACCACUAAGCUCUUUAUAGGUAAACAAAUACCAUUUACUAAACACAAUUAUUAGUAAACAAAAUAUAGUGAGACAAUGUAAGAUUCAUAAACUAAUCUUGAAAAAGAAAGCCUUAAUGAUAACAAUUAGGAAAUACAGGAUAACAGAUAAUUUUGUUCUCAGACUAAAUUGAAAAACUUCCUAGUAUGUGAAUAUCUCACAUGCAAAGAAAUAAAGAUAAUUCUAGAAGCUAUUUGUUGAGAUUUGAAACUCAUUUGAUAAAGGAAUGAUAGUAGGUAGUUGCACUGAUGUGCUUCUGCUAACAUCUGAGCUAAAUAAAGUUUUUCUAUAAACAGAAAAAAAUGCUUUAUACCACUGCUAUGGGAAAAAAAUACCUUAUGCAUUCUAAGCAAAAAAAUAUCAAAAACAGAGAUUGCAACAUAUUUCAAAAUAUCUGCAGGAAAUGUAAUUUUUAUUAAGUUAAUUAUAUACAUGAUGCUUGGCCUAACUUUGUGCUAAACAUAUGCUAGAAUAAACGGAGUUAGAUUAGCCAAAGUAUCUGGAAAUCUGAAGUACCUGCUGUUACAAAUAAGUCAGUCUUUUAUAUCUUCCACAAAUGGAUAAGGGCUAUUGAAAUAACAUUGUUAUCAUCUCUAAUAUACUACUCUCUGAACAAGCUGAAAUGCAACACCAGAAUGUCUUAAAGAAGUUAGCUUAAGAAACAACAAAGAAUUCUCCCCCUAAAAACUUGGGCUGUUGAAAAACAUGCUAAAAUAAAACAUGUUUUAAAUAAAUAACUCUAUUUCUAACCAUAGGGUAGGGGCAAUAAGAAAAAUAUAAAAUGUCAUGUGUUGGGGAUUACCAUACCUUUUCAUAUAAUAAACAUAUAGGAUUUUUGUUGAAUUGUCAUGGAAUAUAGCAUUCCCUAAGAAGCACAGCCAAUACCUUCACCAAAAACCCAUAUAAAACAACAAUCUGGGGAGUUCCUGUUAUGGUUCAGUGGGUUAAGAACCCAACUAGUAUCUAUGAGGAUGUGGGUCCGAUCCCUGGCCUCACUCAGUGGAUUAAAGUAUCCAGUGUUGCCGCAAACUAUGGUGUAGGUCACAGAUGUGGCUCGGAUCUAGCUGUGGCCAGCAGCUGCAGCUCAGAUUCCACCCUUAGCCUGGGAACUUCCAUAUGCUGCGGGUGCAACCCGAAAAAGAAAAAAGAAAAAAAAAACAAUUAGGAGGGUGCCUAUUAAGUGGUGCUGAUGGCACUAAGUACAGAGGUGUUAUCCACUGCACUGUGAAGAUGGUUUUCCACUGAAUCUACAAAACCCAAUGGCUAUGGGAAGCAAUGCUGCAACAACAACAACAAAGAAAUCUUGUAAAUGAGGAUGCUGGAAGACUGUGCCCUGAAAGGAGAGUCACUGCAGGGGAGCCUUUUCCAAACACAAUGUACACACCCAGCAAUAUAGCUAGUAAUGACAAGGAAAUCUUUUUCCCAGCACUUUAUGUCUGAGGCCAGUGGUACAGCUGGAGAGCUGAAAGAAUGAAAGAUUCAGGUCCUUUCAUUUUAUGAGGGCUGAUAUUCAAAUCAUGUUCUUCCCUGAAUCUGUUUGAGAAAAUAUUGUCCAUUCUCCACAUUCAAGGCUAUUGCUUGUAGAAAUGGAAACUUUAAACUCAAAGUUCUACUCGUCACAUUAUCAAUUCUACAUCCGUCCACUAAAUUCAGGUGGGAAAUUAGAAUAAAUUGACUCAUUCCAUUUUUCUCAUUAAUAAUUAACUUGAACACAGCUUCAAAUGCUAGCAUUAAAGAAAACAGACAUUAGGAUUUCUGCACACACAUUAAAAACAUGAAACAAUAAUCAGGAAUCUCCAUCUUUUACAGAAAAGGGAGAAAAUGCACCAAAGGCAGCAUAAACAAUUUAAUUUAAAAUUGUUUACAUUUCAACUAUCUUUGUGAGGUUUAGGAGUGAUUUGGUCUUUCAAAGCUUAGCACCAAGAAAAAUUUUAUCUUUCUAAAUAAAAUACAAGGAGUUGGGAGUCUUUGCUUAUUGAUUCUGGCAAAACCUAACUCCAACUCUCUCAAAAAACAAUGCAUUUUGCAUCAUUAAAAAUCAAAAUGAAAGCAAUUUUUACAUUAAAAAAUAUGGCAACUUAGUCCAAGCAGAAUACGCUGAAAGUAACAAAACAUACCCAUAGGCAAAAGAUGCUUUUCUCAUUUUAGGAGUAAAUGGCACAAAUCUACUAACAAGCCCAGACUUGUUUAGAAAGAUGAGGCUGAAAUCGUACACUGAAUGUGUCUGGCAGAAACCAUAACAUGCUGAUCUAUUAAAUUCUUUUCAACAAGGGUUACUGAACCCUAGUACAAACUAGACUGUGCUAAUCACAGGAGAAACUGAGAUAAGUGGGACCAAAUGUCUGCUCUUAAAAAUCCUGCAAUGCAAUUGGAGAAGAUAAGAAUAUUGAGAUAUUUAAAAAAAAAAAAAAAAAAAAAAAAAAAAGAGUUCUCAUCAUGGUGCAGCAGAAACGAAUCCAACCAGGAACCAUGUGGUUGCGGGUUCAAUCCCUGGCCUUGCUCACUGGGUUAAGGUUCUGGUGUUGUCGUGAGCUGUGGUGUAGGUCACAGACAUGGCUUGGAUCCUGCGUUGCUGUGGCUGUGGUAUAGGCCAGCAGCUAUAGCUCUGAUUCAACCCCUAGCCUGGGAACCUCCAUAUGCCAUGGGUAUAGCCCUAAAAAGCAAAAAAAAAACAAAAAAACUCAGAGAUAUUUUAUACGGAGAUGUGAUUUAAGGGUAGCUAACAAUUACUGUACAUGUAUAGCCCCUAAUGAACAUUUUUACUUACAUGCAUCCAUUAACUCAUUUAAUUCUACAACUUGAAUGGAUCAAGGGAUUCCAAGCAUAGCCUUAGUUCUCUCUCCUUCCACUGACAAAAUCUCUCUACUUUGCAUGUUAACCUUAUUUUUUUUCUGGUACAUACAACCAUUUUUGUGAUAAAGAAAACCACCCAAAAUCUAGGCCUAGCUUCCUAUGGCUUACAAUUCAGAAGGAAGAGAUCGUCUUUCAUAUUAGUUUUAGCAGAAAAACCUUAGGGCAACUGAGGAAGGAGUGGGAGCUACGGAUGUUGACGCCAAAGGACAACAUAGAGUAGGGAAAGAUUUUUCAAAUGGGAACAGGGAAGAGGAAUGGGAAAGUCAUUAGGCAGAACAGUAAGGCACCAUGAGAGAUGUCUUUUCAACCUCUGAGGCAAUAAGGACCUUUUACUAUCAAACUAUAUUUGAUAUAUAACACAGUGUAAAAUUAAGACAAACUGUGUUAAUUUGAUAUGAUACAUUUAUAUAUUGUAAUAUGACUGCCAUUGUCAUCUGUUGAUGGACAUUUAGGUUGUUUCCAUAUCUUGGCUAUUAUUAUUAUUAUAUAAAUAAGCAAAUGUACAAUGAGGUACCAUCAGAAUGGCCACCUGUCAGAAUGGCCAUCAUUAAUAAGUCUACAAAUAACAAAUGCUGGAGAGGGUGUGGAGAAAAGGGAACCCUCCUACUCUGUUAGUAGAAUGUAAAUUGGUAAAAACACUAUGGAAAACAGUAUGGAGGUUCUUCAGAAAACUAAAUACAGAACUGCCAUAUGAUCCAGCAAUCCCACUCCUGGGCAUGUAUGGCACCCUUAUGUUCAUUGUAGUACUAUUCCCAAUAGCCAUGAUUAUUCAAUAAGUUAUUUCUCUAUUUCUCUUAUUUGGAUUGUGUCCAGGUUGGGAAUGCUGUGAAUAAAGUUGCUACAAAAUUCUUGUACCUAUCUUUAGGUAAAUCUCUGCACUAACUUCUCUUGCGUAUAUUUCAGGUCUGAAAUUGUUAUGUCAUAAUAUAGUAACAUACAUUUUAGCUGCAGCAUCUUUAAGCAGGAUUUUAAAUAAUAACAUUAACUUCCAAGUCUAGUAAAACCUAACCUACUCUAACUGUGUAGAUUCUUCACAAUGCCAUUCAUGCAAUAAUUAUUUGUUCAGUAUCUGCUACAUAUCAGGAACGUAGCAAUGAAUGAGGUGGAUGUGAACCCUGUCUUCAUGAAGCUUCACCCCCUCUGGUGGGUGGCAAACAGUGA